CUCUCCAAGCUCGUUUCAUUCGCCCGUGCCCUCGCCGCCGGUCAUCCCCGCGUCGCCGCCGAUCACCGCUUCACCAGGAGCGGGGAAGGGGGCCUUUCGGCGCAACAUUCGAGCUCGUAUUGCAUUGCACCAGGAAGAAAAAGGUCGCUGCUCUUUCGCUUGCUGAGGUAAGAUCAAAUCAUCUUAUCCGUGAUUUCCUAAGGAUUUAUUUUACUUGCUCAAGCUUUUGAACAUUCCUUUCCAUCAAUCCGCCCCUUCUUCAACUAUGACGCCGUGCGUGUGUUCUUCAACCUGUGAUUUUCAUUUUCUUGUAUAUACCGGCUUCCAAUUUGCCAUUGCUCUAAAAUGAGCGAGUCUACACUCUAAAAUGCGUCUGUAUACAUCUUAUAUAGUUCGUAUUGAAAUCUCUAAAAAAAUCUUAUAUUUAGAAAUGGAUGGAGUAUGUGCCACUGUUGUAUACGAGUACAUCCGCAACUAACAUUGCACAGGUAAGAAAAUAUUCACCUACCCCAGAAGGGUGCAGAGAAGUGAAGAUCGAGUCGAUUUAUUCAAAGGGAUGAUCACAGCACAACAAUGGAGUACACAACAACGCCGACAUCAACAACGCAACGCAACAUGCGGCCGUGUACAUAUUGGUCACAGCUUAAUUACACUCAUCACACAAGGUGCGCGCAAUGCAGGUAUAGCUCCUCUG
rnacentral:rRNA from 1 species